GUUGUUUUGUGUGGUGUUGGCCAAAGUUGGACCACACACACACAUCCUAUCUCUAUCCCUCACCCUCUGUCACUUCCUCUCUCUCUCCCGUGUCUCUCUCUCCCUUCCUAUCACCAUAAACGUACGGACAAACACCAAACUCACCCAAACCAGCACAGAUCGAGGGAACCAACUGCACCAUCGAACUCGUGAGGCCGAGGGGAGUCCAGUGGUACCAUUUUCAGGCUCGUAGAUGUCUUUGUGAGGUUCCCAGGAGCUUGGGAGUAGCUCGUUGGGCUAAUUUGGAUGUCGGGAUCGUCCUGUACGAAGUUGGCCGGUUUUUGAUUUCGUGGACAGGUGACACGUAUCCCGAGGACGAGCGUGCACACUCGAGGCAGGGGGGCUACGACCCUUCCACAUACCAGUGAGUGGGCUUUUGUUUUCCGUAUAUACCUAUAUACAUAUAAAUUCCCAGAAUAAGUAUAAAUGCUUCGUUUUAUGCCAUUCUUUUAUAUGAUUGAUGGUUAUGCAUGAUUAGUGGCAUAUACGUUUAAUUACAUACUCAUUUAUGCAAAUGUCAUAUAUAUUUAUAUGUUGGUGCUGUGGAGGCAUAGG